rnacentral:rRNA from 1 species
CCUACGGGAGGCAGCAGUGGGGAAUAUUGCACAAUGGGCGCAAGCCUGAUGCAGCCAUGCCGCGUGUGUGAAGAAGGCCUUCGGGUUGUAAAGCACUUUCAGCGAGGAGGAAGGGUUCAGUGUUAAUAGCACUGUGCAUUGACGUUACUCGCAGAAGAAGCACCGGCUAACUCCAAUGCCAGCAGCCGCGGUAAU